rnacentral:tRNA from 1 species
UGUAGUGUUUAUCACAUCCGCUUAACACGCGGAAGGUCCCAGGUUCGAUCCCUGGCA